CACCAAACAGAGUUUCAUAUAAAGAAUAUUUCAUAUUGGUGUAUGUCUAUAUUUUUUUUUGCUAUAUACUAACUGUAUAGUGUACUUUGUUACUGGCCCUUGAGGGCCAGAGUUAUAUGAUUGUAUUAUGACACGUGAAUCAAUAUAAAUUUAAAUAACCAAAAUGCAAAGAGGCAGAUAUUUUUACAGAAGGAAAUAUUUAUAAUGCAAUCUUAUCA